GACGAACCGUGCGAACGUUAUUCGGAAUCACUGGGCUUAAAGCGCGUGUAGGCGGGAGGGCACGUCCGUCGCUGAAAUCCCCCGGCUCAACCGGGGAACGGGCGCGGAUACGACCUUCCUGGAGGGGCGUAGGGGGACCUGGAACUUCCGGUGGAGCGGUGAAAUGCGUAGAUAUCGGGAGGAACACCAGUGGCGAAGGCGACUACCUGGCCUGUUCUUGACGCUGAGGCGCGAAAGCUAGGGGAGCAAACGGG
rnacentral:rRNA from 1 species